rnacentral:rRNA from 1 species
UAGAUACCCUAUUAUAAAAAUUUAAAUUAAAUUACUAAAAAAUUAAUAGUUAUGUUCUUUAAAUUUAAAAAAUUUGGCGGUAUUUUAGUCUUAUUAGAGGAACCUGUUUAUUAAUUGAUAAUCCACGAUUAAUUUUACUUAUUUUAAUAAUUCAUAUAUCGCUGUCAUGAAUAUAUUAAAAAAUUUAUUUUCUUUAUUUAUUAUUAUAAUUUAUGUUAAGUCAAGAUGUGGUUUAUAAAUAAGUAUAUAAUGGGUUACAUUAAAUUUUAUUUAUGGAUUUUAAAUGAAAAUUAAGAUGAAAUUGGAUUUAAUAGUAAAUUUA